rnacentral:lncRNA from 1 species
AAAAUUAAAACAGAAUAAAUUAAAAAAUAAGACAAUAUGCUUCUCAAUAUGCUUCUCAUAUCGUGAUUGUGUAUUCGACGACACCACCACCAACCCCAACUUGGACGAUUCUUAUUCACUGUAACUGGAAUGCAGCGGCGGAUACACGGUGUUCGGCGAUGCAACGGCAGUGUUCGACAAUGAAGAAAAAAUGCACAGGACAGGUUUGCGGCGGUAGUCGGCAAUGAGCGGCGGGUUGCCGGUCUCAGAGAUCGAUGUUGGACGGUAUUGUUGAGUUUGAGAAGUAUGACAAUUGAAGAUGAAGAUCUGGCUGCAAGAUCUGGUUUUUAUUACUGUUUUUAGUUUUUUCUUUAAAAACAAAACUUGUUACAGAUAGCAGUAAAACACAUUGCAAAUUAAUUUCACAAUGAGUAAUGAGAGAUUUUGUGAAUGAAUCCAGAGAUUGCAGCCACUAAAUUUGUUGUGGAAGAUUUUCAAAAAAAAAAAUUGCUGUGGAAGAUGAAGGGGAAAAAGGUUUGCUGUGAAAAGAUGCAGGGUAUUUUGUUUUGGAAGAAUCCUCUCAUCCAUUAGAUUGAUCUAACGGUUCAGAUUUGGAGAAGGAGAGAGAAGGAGGUAGUUAGGGAAGGAGACAAUCCGGAUCC